rnacentral:lncRNA from 10 species
GCCAAGACCUAGAAGCAAGGAAAUAAAAUUGGUAUCUGAUCUCGGAAGUGAAGCCAAAGUUCAGCUUAGCAGAAGCAGCAAGUUUUCCCCUAAGGAAGUGAAGGAAAGCUCCAUGGUGGCUACUUCAAGGAUCCAGGCAGUGGCCACAAGGUCCUCAACUAGAGAGAAGAGAAAAGAAGGAAGCAAUACUGUGAGGAGAUACUGAGUUAGUGCCAGGCAGGAGCGUGGGGAAGACUCAAGGCACAGCCAAGCUCAAGUCUCAGAUUUGACCUGGGUAAUUCUGGGACAUAGUGGUGCCAAGAACCAAGAUGGAGACAUCAGAGGAAGGGCUGAUUUGGGAGCAUGGUGACGGUUACUCUGGCGCCUUGUUGAAUGAGAGGUACAGGAAGGCACAUUGGGAAGCUGCCUGGAGGUGAGUAGAACUGCAGGUCUAGAUCUUGGACAGUGACAGUGGACUGGGCUGAAAAUGCUGACUUCAGGGAUUGGAAGCCAUUAGAGGUGUUGAGGACGCCAAGACGGAGAGAGCAAAGCAUGAAGGAAAACACCAGAACACUGCCAGUACCAGUAUUUGGAGGGUUAUCUUGAGAAAGUGGAACAAGAGAAACCAAUUCGAAGGAAAGACCUUAGAAGACCUUUCUGACUCCAGGACUCAAGGAAAACCCUAAGUAGAAGGAUGGGGAUAAAGAGUCACUCUGCCCAAAACUCAUCUCCUCCAACUCUAUGAAGGGCCUUGCAGACCUUUCCUCAUUAGUUCCAGUUGCCAGUCACUUCUGCUGGUGCAAAUUCUAUCCCUGGUUGCAUUGGAAACCCCCAUGGAGACAGGGACCUGUGACAUCAGUGGUAGUCUUGACACGUAUAGCUCAGUGCAUGCAAAGAAUGUUGGUUGAGUGAAUGUAUAAAAUAGGUGAAAACAUAUAAACAUGUCUGAAAGCAGUGGAAAAUGGAGCUGCCCUGAGAGCUGAGGGCCUGGAACCUCUGGUUGGCUGCCUUUCUCUUGUCCUUUCCAUCAAACUCCAAAAAGAAAGUUCCAAA